rnacentral:lncRNA from 1 species
UCGGACUCAUAAUUAAUAUAUCGUGAUUACUAUUUCAAGAGCAUACGUCACAAAGGGCGACGAACAGGCCGGAUACGUGGCGUCCUUAUCUUCCGGUCCAAGGAAGGGACGUCGGAGUCAACGCGACGAAGACGGUGUUCGCACGAAUCCGCGACAGAUGAUGCAAAUAGUAAUAUAACUUCCCACUUAUUGGCAAGAAUUACACGAAACUAGAAGACGGCGAUUUCCCUGUGUACACAACAUUAGGAGACCCGGCGGCGGCGGCGGCGGCGCCGGAGUCAACGGCUGCGGCGGUAGAGAGAGUAGGAGGAAAGCACGAUGAGGGCGACGAGGAGGACGGAGGCGGCGAGUGAGACGGCGACGGCGCUGCCGAUAUACCGGCAGAAGCGGUCGAAGGUGCCACAGAUCUUGUUCCACUGGACGUGGGAGUUCCCCCUGAGACCGACGUAUGCGACGGCGCCGCCGGUGCCGGUGGCGGAAGCCAUCACCCCCAGCAUCAGC